rnacentral:rRNA from 2 species
UUAAGUUAUUAAGGGCGCACGGUGGAUGCCUUGGCACUAGAAGCCGAUGAAGGACGUUACUAACGACGAUAUGCUUUGGGGAGCUGUAAGUAAGCUUUGAUCCAGAGAUUUCCGAAUGGGGAAACCCAGCAUGAGUUAUGUCAUGUUAUCGAUAUGUGAAUACAUAGCAUAUCAGAAGGCACACCCGGAGAACUGAAACAUCUUAGUACCCGGAGGAAGAGAAAGAAAAUUCGAUUCCCUUAGUAGCGGCGAGCGAAACGGGAAGAGCCCAAACCAACAAGCUUGCUUGUUGGGGUUGUAGGACACUCUGUACGGAGUUACAAAGGACGACAUUAGACGAAUCAUCUGGAAAGAUGAAUCAAAGAAGGUAAUAAUCCUGUAGUCGAAAAUGUUGUCUCUCUUGAGUGGAUCCUGAGUACGACGGAGCACGUGAAAUUCCGUCGGAAUCUGGGAGGACCAUCUCCUAAGGCUAAAUACUCUCUAGUGACCGAUAGUGAACCAGUACCGUGAGGGAAAGGUGAAAAGCACCCCGGAAGGGGAGUGAAAUAGAACCUGAAACCGUGUGCUUACAAGUAGUCAGAGCCCGUUAAUGGGUGAUGGCGUGCCUUUUGUAGAAUGAACCGGCGAGUUACGAUUUGAUGCAAGGUUAAGCAGUAAAUGUGGAGCCGUAGCGAAAGCGAGUCUGAAUAGGGCGUUUAGUAUUUGGUCGUAGACCCGAAACCAGGUGAUCUACCCUUGGUCAGGUUGAAGUUCAGGUAACACUGAAUGGAGGACCGAACCGACUUACGUUGAAAAGUGAGCGGAUGAACUGAGGGUAGCGGAGAAAUUCCAAUCGAACCUGGAGAUAGCUGGUUCUCUCCGAAAUAGCUUUAGGGCUAGCCUCAAGUGAUGAUUAUUGGAGGUAGAGCACUGUUUGGACGAGGGGCCCCUCUCGGGUUACCGAAUUCAGACAAACUCCGAAUGCCAAUUAAUUUAACUUGGGAGUCAGAACAUGGGUGAUAAGGUCCGUGUUCGAAAGGGAAACAGCCCAGACCACCAGCUAAGGUCCCAAAAUAUAUGUUAAGUGGAAAAGGAUGUGGCGUUGCCCAGACAACUAGGAUGUUGGCUUAGAAGCAGCCAUCAUUUAAAGAGUGCGUAAUAGCUCACUAGUCGAGUGACACUGCGCCGAAAAUGUACCGGGGCUAAACAUAUUACCGAAGCUGUGGAUUGUCCUUUGGACAAUGGUAGGAGAGCGUUCUAAGGGCGUUGAAGCAUGAUCGUAAGGACAUGUGGAGCGCUUAGAAGUGAGAAUGCCGGUGUGAGUAGCGAAAGACGGGUGAGAAUCCCGUCCACCGAUUGACUAAGGUUUCCAGAGGAAGGCUCGUCCGCUCUGGGUUAGUCGGGUCCUAAGCUGAGGCCGACAGGCGUAGGCGAUGGAUAACAGGUUGAUAUUCCUGUACCACCUAUAAUCGUUUUAAUCGAUGGGGGGACGCAGUAGGAUAGGCGAAGCGUGCGAUUGGAUUGCACGUCUAAGCAGUAAGGCUGAGUAUUAGGCAAAUCCGGUACUCGUUAAGGCUGAGCUGUGAUGGGGAGAAGACAUUGAGUCUUCGAGUCGUUGAUUUCACACUGCCGAGAAAAGCCUCUAGAUAGAAAAUAGGUGCCCGUACCGCAAACCGACACAGGUAGUCAAGAUGAGAAUUCUAAGGUGAGCGAGCGAACUCUCGUUAAGGAACUCGGCAAAAUGACCCCGUAACUUCGGGAGAAGGGGUGCUCUUUAGGGUUAACGCCCAGAAGAGCCGCAGUGAAUAGGCCCAAGCGACUGUUUAUCAAAAACACAGGUCUCUGCUAAACCGUAAGGUGAUGUAUAGGGGCUGACGCCUGCCCGGUGCUGGAAGGUUAAGAGGAGUGGUUAGCUUCUGCGAAGCUACGAAUCGAAGCCCCAGUAAACGGCGGCCGUAACUAUAACGGUCCUAAGGUAGCGAAAUUCCUUGUCGGGUAAGUUCCGACCCGCACGAAAGGCGUAACGAUUUGGGCACUGUCUCAACGAGAGACUCGGUGAAAUCAUAGUACCUGUGAAGAUGCAGGUUACCCGCGACAGGACGGAAAGACCCCGUGGAGCUUUACUGUAGCCUGAUAUUGAAAUUCGGCACAGCUUGUACAGGAUAGGUAGGAGCCUUUGAAACGUGAGCGCUAGCUUACGUGGAGGCGCUGGUGGGAUACUACCCUAGCUGUGUUGGCUUUCUAACCCGCACCACUUAUCGUGGUGGGAGACAGUGUCA